UGAGAACUUUUAACUGAAAUGUAUUUGAUAGCUUCUAAAUAACCCCUCUCAAAUACUUAAUUAUUUUCUUACGUUGUAUCAAUCUCCACUCUAAUCUAUGUAUUACAUUUUGUAACAUUUUUUGCUUUAACUGGUUCACAGAUAAUUAUUUUGUUAUUAUAACUGCACCAGCGCAACUGCAACAGACUGUUAAGGUCUCAUGCAACUGGCUGACAUCCAUCUACGUGAUGCUGGGGGCAUGGAGACGGAUCAGAGUUACGUUCAUCCCGAAGGCUGGUAAGAGCGCCCACUUCACGACAAAGGCUUUAGGCUCAUCAGCCUCGGUAGACGGUCAGAAAAUCCCAGAAGAAAAUAUCCAGAUAGUUUUAGCCAAAAUAUCCAAAAUAAAAAAUACACUAACAAAAAUAACUCGCUACAAAAACAUUCCAAUUACAAAUAUCCCGUACCGAAAAAUCCCAACAAAAAAGUCACAAUAUAAACAAAUCUCAUAUCUAACAUAGUAUUUAAAUAUUUUCCGCUCUCUAUAGUUCGUUUUUAAUGACUAUUAUAGUUAUAUUCAUUCAAUAUUUGGGUUUAAUAUAUGUCAUUACUAUAAUUCGCAUCGUUACCCUAAUAACGUAUAGUCUGAAAUACAAUAACUCAGUCCCAAUAUCUGCGGUGGCAGUAAACAGUACACGACGGUCAAACCUCUAAAAAUAUUUUAAUUUAAUAAUAAGUACUAAGUAAUCGCCGUUAUAUAGAUAUUAGUGAAUAACAUUGAAAAAUUUAUUAUCAAUCCAAAAGGAGGGAAACCCUUCAUUUGAAGAGAUUUAUAUACACGUAUCAAAGCAAAUCAGACGAAAAA